rnacentral:rRNA from 1 species
AGAGUUUGAUCCUGGCUCAGGAUGAACGCUAGCGGCAGGCCUAACACAUGCAAGUCGAGGGGUAACAGAGAGAAGCUUGCUUCUUUGCUGACGACCGGCGCACGGGUGCGUAACGCGUAUACAAUCUACCUUGUACUGGGGGAUAGCCUUUAGAAAUGAAGAUUAAUACCCCAUAGUAUGUUAAGUUCGCAUGGACCUAAUAUUAAAGGUUACGGUACAAGAUGAGUAUGCGUCCUAUUAGCUAGUUGGUAUGGUAACGGCAUACCAAGGCAACGAUAGGUAGGGGCCCUGAGAGGGGGAUCCCCCACACUGGUACUGAGACACGGACCAGACUCCUACGGGAGGCAGCAGUGAGGAAUAUUGGACAAUGGAGGCAACUCUGAUCCAGCCAUGCCGCGUGCAGGAAGACUGCCCUAUGGGUUGUAAACUGCUUUUAUACAGGAAGAAACAUCGCUACGUGUAGCGACUUGACGGUACUGUAAGAAUAAGGAUCGGCUAACUCCGUGCCAGCAGCCGCGGUAAU